GAGACGUCGCUGCCGUGAUCG
rnacentral:sRNA from 1 species